GACGAACCGUGCGAACGUUGUUCGGAAUCACUGGGCUUAAAGGGCGCGUAGGCGGUCCACCAAGUCAGGGGUGAAAUCUUUCGGCUUAACCGGAAAAGUGCCUUUGAUACUGGUGGACUCGAGCGAGGUAGGGGCAGAUGGAACUGAGGGUGGAGCGGUGAAAUGUGUAGAUAUCCUCAGGAACGCCGGUGGCGAAAGCGAUCUGCUGGACCUCUUCUGACGCUGAGGCGCGAAAGCCAGGGGAGCAAACGGG
rnacentral:rRNA from 1 species